rnacentral:lncRNA from 1 species
GCCGCAGCGCCAGCGCAGGCCGUGCUGCCACCGGAGCCGCUCAGCCGGCACCCGCGCCCCGGCCCGGCCUCGCCGCCCUGGCCGCCAUGCCCUCGGACCGGCCCUUCAAGCAGCGCCGCACCUUCGGGCUCUAGGAGCUGGGCAUUCAGAAAUCCUGCCAGACAUUAAACAUUUUAUAAUGAAGUUGUAACAAUGAAAUGGAUAGUCCUGCAGACCUCAUCACUUGCUCCACGUUCAUGUUGGUAAUACCUUCCUGUGACAGUAGAGCACCAGGCUCUACCUACACCACGUUGCAGAGACAUGCUUUGUAUCAGACAUGAAGUUCAAACCAGUGCAGUUUUGGUCCCAGGUCAUUCAUUGUGUCCAGAGCAGACAGAAGAAGUAAAAUACAACCAACGAUCAGAAUCACUCUCAGGUUUCUGCAUUGCUGCUGUCCUGUGUACCCUGACAACACCCUUUUCUUAGCAGCAAGGACAGCUUUCCCAGGACACAGCUGGCCUCCCGAGCUGUGUCCUCCUUUCCUGGAUGUGGAGUCUCCUCUUGCUCCUCCUGCAGUGCCACAGGCCUGUGAACCAGCCCUCCAGCACUGGGCAAGGACAGGUCAAGUCAGCUGUGGUGUGAGCCAUGGACACAUACAUGGGGUGCACUUCCUGAUGGUGAGGGGUGGUGAGACCACUUCCUGCUCGGCCUUUGGGUGGUGUGAGACCACAAAAAUAUUUAUUGAUGUUCAUCUGGAAUGACCCGCAUAACUUCCCUGUGUCUUCAGCAGUUGCCAGCUCAUCCCAGACAUACCUGAUUUCAAGCCAUCCAGUCCAUGCUCAACUGGUAGCAGGUCGAUGACGUUUCCAGGUGGUGUUUUUUCUUCAUGGUGUUUUCUUAACAGCAUUCCUGUUGGUCACAGACAACAGGGCUGGUUGUAGAGUCCAUCCACUGCCCCAGGGCAGUACUAGUGUUUGUCCAGUGUCUCCUGAAAAAUGCUGUCCAUCACACAACUGCAUUGCUGGAGAACUUGCCAUGUGUUUUCCUUCUGUUCCACCCUCUGUACUUUUUUGUCUGAUUAAACUCUUUUGC